CAUUCAAAGUUUAAAAAAAACUAACAGCCAAUAGCUCAUCUGAAUCAAGUUUUUAAGGUGGAGGACUGUAAACCAGAAAAGGAAGCAGAGACAUCAGCAAGAAUCGAGAUAAGAGUCAUCUCCCACUAUGAAUGAAAAUUGCAUGAUUGGAAAUACUAAAAGUGCACAAAAGUGUGUAUUUGGCCCACUGUAUACUAUUCAUUUGAAUGGGCAACAUUUGUGCAUUGCAUGAUGGCUGUAGUGCAGCGAAACCCUGCAUUUAUCCAAUCAGAUGAGAGCUUCAUGAAGGGGAAGCCUUUCAUCGUGUGGCACCAUUCUAGAGGUGCUAGAGGAUCAGAGGGAGCGUGGUGCAAAGCGGGGUGUGAUAAGUGAUUUGAGGCAAGUGGCUGCUGGUCCAUUUUUGGUUUUGUAGGCAAGCAUCUGUGUUUAAAUCUGAUGUGGACAGCUACAGGACGCCAAUGGAGGGAGCGUAGCAAUGGUGUUGUGUGGGAGAACAUAGGAUAGUUGAAAAGUCGAGGAGUGGCAUUCUGGAUCAGUUGCAGAGGGUGAAUGUUGCUCAAAGGCCGACCUCCCAGCAGUGAGUUGAGUAGUCCAGUUUUGAAGUCUUCCUUGUGAGAGGAAAAGGAGAGUUGAUUGUCCAUGGUUACCCCAAGGUUGCGUGCUGUAACUGAAGGUGGAAUCAGAGAGUUGUCCAGGGAGAUCACAAGAUCAUGACAGGGUGAUGAAUCACCUGGGAUGAACAGCAGUUCAGGUUUGCUGGGACGUUUCAGCUGAUGAGUUGCCAUCCAUGAGGAGAUGUCUGCCAGACAUGAGAUCUGCGAAGAAACAAGAGGAUCUGAGGGAGGGAAGGAGAGGAUGAGUUGAGUGUCAUCCGCGUAGCAGUGGUAUGAGAACCCAUGUGAGGAUAUGACCUCACAAAGAGAUCGUGUAUAGAGGGAGAACAGAAGAGAACCAAGUACUGAGCCUUGUGGGACACCAGUGUAGAGACUGCGGGGAGCAGAUGUGGAUCCCCUCCACGUCAUCUAGCAUGAGCGACUGUCCAGGCUGUUCACAAAAGUCUAACAAAGGCAUUGUUGUGGCUGGAUCAGGAAGCUGUCGUGAAGUUGCGAUGGACUUUAACAGGAAACACUGCAAGCACAUCACACACACGAAACUGUCGCCAAACUUCAACAAAUUCAAAAAGACUGGAAGUGUUGCGGCCCGACCGAGAAGUGGAUGUCCAUGAACAUCCACUGAUGAAGGCACAACCAACGUGAUGCUGACAGAGUCCCCUAUGUAUGGAGACUUUUGAGACACCCUGUACAAUGUAGUACAUUUUUACAUUUCUGCACACCUUGCUUUGAUAGGGUUAAAUCUUUCCGCAUCACUGGCUUUUCUGUACCUUUUGUCAUACUGUAAUGACCUUCACACUGGGCUUUGUGUUUUAGGUUUAAAACUGAAUCAUACUUGGUUAAGACACUUCACUCUGAGAUGUGUUCCCUUGCGUAAUUAGUAAUUACCCAUUACAAUAAUGUUAAUGAGCCGAUUAAGAAUAACUCUCAAUCGAGAUUUAGUUGACAGCGUUUGCUGUAAUGGACUGCUGAUCCUCGUGGUUUACUGGAUUAAGAUGUGUGAAGCAACGUUCCAGAUCAUAAGAUGAUUAAGGGAAUGAGUCAUGCCUUGGGAAGAUGGGAUUUUCCUCAGGUUCGCCACAUUUAUAAUAAAAAUGCAGCUGGCAACGACCAAGAGCUUUAGGCAGCAUGAUACAAAUAUGUACCAUGUCAGACAUGCAGCUAAAAAUAGUCUGUGGGUGCCACGCUAUGCAUAGCAUGUCUAGCCAAUGUGGAGAGAAAUGCGCUGCGAAAUAUAGUGCAGAGAACACCACAAGAACUGGUUUACUUCAUCAAAGAGACAAUUUGGGCAAAUAAUACUUAUCUAAACGCAUCUCUCUAGGAGAGACCAUUCUUCAAUAAUGCAGAAAGGUUACACAUGAUGCAUAAAGGACUGCACUAAUUGAGUCAGUAUCGGCUGACAGACAGUACCACUGCAAUUAAAUAUUUAGUAUCACCAAAAAUAACAAUAAUAAAUAAAAACAAAAUGACAUGCAAGCUGGAUAUUGAGAUGUAUUAUAACUUCCUUCAAUGAUCUCCAAAAAAAUAUA